rnacentral:rRNA from 1 species
AUCUAUGGCCAUCCCACCUUGUAAGCACCUAAUCUUGUCUGAUCUCGGAAGCUAAGCUGGGUUGGGCCUGGUUGGUACUUGGAUG